CUGCGUCCGAUUAGCUUGUUGGUAAGGUAAUGGCUUACCAAGGCGAUGAUCGGUAGCUGGUCUGAGAGGAUGAUCAGCCACACUGGGAUUGAGAUACGGCCCAGACUCCUACGGGAGGCAGCAGUAAGGAAUUUUGCACAAUGGACGAAAGUCUGAUGCAGCAACGCCGCGUGAUUGAUGAAGCUUUUAGGAGUGUAAAGAUCUGUCGUGAGGGAAGAAAAAUUUAGAUGUAAAUAAUGUUUAAACUUGACGGUACCUUACAAGAAAGCACCGGCUAACUUCGUGCCAGCAGCCGCGGUAAUACGAGGGGUGCUAGCGUUGUCCGGAAUAACUGGGCGUAAAGGGUCCGUAGGCGUUUUGCUAAGUUGAUCGUUAAAUCCAUCGGCUUAACCGAUGAUAUGCGAUCAAAACUGGCAGAAUAGAAUAUGUGAGGGGAAUGUGGAAUUCCUGGUGUAGCGGUGACAUGCGUAGAUAUCAGGAGGAACACCGAUAGCGAAGGCAGCAUUCUGGCACAAUAUUGACGCUGAGGGACGAAAGCGUGGGGAGCGAACA
rnacentral:rRNA from 1 species